rnacentral:rRNA from 1 species
CCGACGGUGAGAGAUGAAAGCUGGGGGCACGAACCGGAUUAGAUACCCGGGUAGUCCCAGCCGUAAACGAUGCUCGCUAGGUGUCUGGGAUGGUGCGACCGUUUCAGGUGCCGCAGGGAAGCCGUGAAGCGAGCCACCUGGGAAGUACGGCCGCGAGGCUGAAACUUAAAGGAAUUGGCGGGGGAGCACUACAACGGGUGGAGCCUGCGGUUUAAUUGGACUCAACGCCGGAAAACUCACCUGGGGC